rfam:Myotis davidii contig152017, whole genome shotgun sequence.
GCCAUUGUGGUUCAGUGGUUGAGCAUCCGCCUAUAAACCAGGAUGUCAGGAUUCAACUCCCUGUCAGGGCA